rnacentral:rRNA from 1 species
UGGGGAAUAUUGCGCUAAUGCGCGAAAGCGUGACGCAGCGACGCCGCGUGGGGGAUGAAGGCCCUCGGGUCGUAAACCCCUUUCGCCAGGGACGAAGGGAAACUGACGGUACCUGGAGAAGAAGUCCCGGCUAACUACGUGCCAGCAGCCGCGGUAACACGUAGGGGACGAGCGUUGUCCGGAAUUAUUGGGCGUAAAGCGCGCGUAGGCGGUCGUGCAAGUCGGAUGUGAAAAUCCCGGGCUCAACCCGGGACCUGCACCCGAUACUGCUCGACUCGAGGUAGGUAGGGGAGAUCGGAAUUCCUGGUGUAGCGGUGAAAUGCGCAGAUAUCAGGAGGAACACCGGUGGCGAAGGCGGAUCUCUGGGCCUUACCUGACGCUGAGGCGCGAAAGCUAGGGGAGCGAACAGGAUUAGAUACCCCCGUAGUCC